rnacentral:rRNA from 1 species
UGCAGUUGAGCGCUGAGGUUGGUACUUGUACCGACUGGAUGAGCAGCGAACGGGUGAGUAACGCGUGGGGAAUCUGCCUUUGAGCGGGGGACAACAUUUGGAAACGAAUGCUAAUACCGCAUAAAAACUUUAAACACAAGUUUUAAGUUUGAAAGAUGCAAUUGCAUCACUCAAAGAUGAUCCCGCGUUGUAUUAGCUAGUUGGUGAGGUAAAGGCUCACCAAGGCGAUGAUACAUAGCCGACCUGAGAGGGUGAUCGGCCACAUUGGGACUGAGACACGGCCCAAACUCCUACGGGAGGCAGCAGUAGGGAAUCUUCGGCAAUGGACGAAAGUCUGACCGAGCAACGCCGCGUGAGUGAAGAAGGUUUUCGGAUCGUAAAACUCUGUUGGUAGAGAAGAACGUUGGUGAGAGUGGAAAGCUCAUCAAGUGACGGUAACUACCCAGAAAGGGACGGCUAACUACGUGCCAGCAGCCGCGGUAAUACGUAGGUCCCGAGCGUUGUCCGGAUUUAUUGGGCGUAAAGCGAGCGCAGGUGGUUUAUUAAGUCUGGUGUAAAAGGCAGUGGCUUAACCAUUGUAUGCAUUGGAAACUGGUAGACUUGAGUGCAGGAGAGGAGAGUGGAAUUCCAUGUGUAGCGGUGAAAUGCGUAGAUAUAUGGAGGAACACCGGUGGCGAAAGCGGCUCUCUGGCCUGUAACUGACACUGAGGCUCGAAAGCGUGGGGAGCAAACAGGAUUAGAUACCCUGGUAGUCCACGCCGUAACGAUGAGUGCUAGAUGUAGGGAGCUAUAAGUUCUCUGUAUCGCAGCUAACGC